rnacentral:rRNA from 1 species
AACGAUCCGGAGCAAUCGGAUAGUGGCGAACGGCGGAGUAAUACAUAAGCAACGUGCCCCAAAGACUGGGAUAGUCGACCGAAAGGACGGGUAAUACCGGAUGUGGCCCCUCUAAGACAUCUUGGAGGGAUUAAAUGGUUUUUCGCUUUGGGAGCGGCUUAUGGCCUAUCAGGUAGUUGGUGAGGUAACGGCUCACCAAGCCGACGACGGGUAGCGGGUCUGAGAGGACGAUCCGCUCGAGUGGGACUGAGACACGGCCCACACACCUACGGGUGGCAGCAGUUGGGAAUCUUGCACAAUGGGGGAAACCCUGAUGCAGCGACGCCGCGUGGAGGAUGAAGGAUCUAGGUCUGUAAACUCCUUUUGUUGGGAAAGACUUAGGACGGUACCCAACGAAUAAGCACCGGCUAACUACGUGCCAGCAGCCGCGGUAAGACGUAGGGUGCAAGCGUUGUCCGGAUUUACUGGGCGUAAAGAGCGCGUAGGCGGCUUGUUAAGUGUGAAGCUAAAUCUCCAGGCUCAACUUGGAAACUAUUUCGCAUACUGGCGAGCUAGAGGAAUGCGGAGGUUAGUGGAAUUCCUGGUGUAGCGGUG